GACGAACGCUGGCGGCGUGCUUAACACAUGCAAGUCGAACGGAAAGGCCCUGCUUUUGUGGGGUGCUCGAGUGGCGAACGGGUGAGUAACACGUGAGUAACCUGCCCUUGACUUUGGGAUAACUUCAGGAGACUGGGGCUAAUACCGGAUAGGAGCUCCUGCUGCAAGGUGGGGGUUGGAAAGUUUCGGCGGUUGGGGAUGGACUCGCGGCUUAUCAGCUUGUUGGUGGGGUAGUGGCUUACCAAGGCUUUGACGGGUAGCCGGCCUGAGAGGGUGACCGGCCACAUUGGGACUAGGAUAGGGCCCAGACUCCUACGGGAGGCAGCAGUGGGGAAUAUUGCACAAUGGGCGGAAGCCUGAUGCAGCAACGCCGCGGGCGGGAUGACGGCCUUCGGGUUGUAAACCGCUUUCGCCUGUGACGAAGCGUGAGUGACGGUAAUGGGUAAAGAAGCACCGGCUAACUACGUG
rnacentral:rRNA from 1 species